GGCGGCGUGCCUAACACAUGCAAGUCGUACGAGAAAGUUGGCUUCGGCCGAUGAGUAAAGUGGCGCACGGGUGAGUAAUGCGUGGAUAAUCUGCCCUUUAGUUGGGAAUAACGUACCGAAAGGUGCGCUAAUACCUGAUAAUACUGCAUAACUACUGUUGUGUAGUCAAAGAAGGCCUCUGUUUACAAGCCUUUUGCUGAAGGAUGAGUCCGCGUACCAUUAGCUGGUUGGUGGGGUAAUGGCCUACCAAGGCUACGAUGGUUAGCUGGUCUGAGAGGAUGAUCAGCCACACUGGAACUGAGACACGGUCCAGACUCCUACGGGAGGCAGCAGUGAGGAAUAUUGCGCAAUGGGGGCAACCCUGACGCAGCAACGCCGCGUGAGUGAGGAAGGUUUUCGGACCGUAAAGCUCUGUCGAGCGGGAAGAAAUGUAUCAUGGCUAAUAUCCAUGAUACUUGACGGUACCGCUAAAGGAAGCACCGGCUAACUCCGUG
rnacentral:rRNA from 1 species